UAUAUCUCAUGGUCCAGACUUGGAGUACAAGUAAUAAGAAGAAUAAAACUUAAUCCCUUAAAUAGAUUCACCAUAAGUUAGCUCAGGGCAAUUCCAAUACAAGUAUGGUCUGUGAUCCAACAGUAUCUUACAGACAGCACGUUGAACAUUGUGGGAUGCAUAAGCUAUUGAGGCCUUUGAAGCUUUCUACUACAUGGAGGCUAGGGUCAGAGUCAAGAUUUAUGUUUUGCAGCACACUGGUCAGCUGUUUUUGCAAAUCAGGUUAAAUGAUUUUUACAUGAGGCUGAGAGCAUGGGAGAUACUAAUGUGUGUUCCCUAAUGAGCUACUGCAUAAGUUAGGAAAUUGAAACACAGAAAGAUGAAAAGUGAUUUGCCCAAGCCUAUAGAUAAAAGCAGUGGCAGAAACAGGACUGGAACCUGUAUCUCUCUACUAAUUUUUUUUAUUAUAAAAAUAAUCUUGUUUCAAAAUAUUAAGAAGUCACAA